GCUAUUGUUUUACUUAAGCCCGUACCGUAAACCGACACAGGUGGAUGAGGAGAGAAUCCUAAGGCCGACGGGAGAAGCAUUGUUAAGGAACUCGGCAAAAUGACUCCGUAACUUCGGGAGAAGGAGUGCCAGCGAGAGCUGGCCGCAGAGAAUUGGCCCAAGCAACUGUUUAGCAAAAACACAGGUCUAUGCAAAACCGUAAGGUGAAGUAUAUGGGCUGACGCCUGCCCGGUGCUGGAAGGUUAAGAGGAGAGGUUAGCGGCAACGCGAAGCUUUGAAUUUAAGCCCCAGUAAACGGCGGCCGUAACGAUAACGGUCCUAAGGUAGCGAAAUUCCUUGUCGGGUAAGUUCCGACCCGCACGAAAGGCGUAAUGAUUUGGGCACUGUCUCAACAAUGCACCCGGUGAAAUUGAAAUACCAGUGAAGAUGCUGGUUACCUGCGCCAGGACGGAAAGACCCCAUGGAGCUUUACUCCAGCUUGAUACUGGGAUUCGGUAUUGCAUGUACAGGAUAGGUGGGAGGCUAGGAAGUGAUAACGCCAGUUGUCACGGAGCCGCUGUUGGGAUACCACCCUUGCAGUAUUGGAUUUCUAACCAGCGACCAUGAACUGGUCGGGGGACAAUGUCAGGUGGGGAGUUUGACUGGGGCGGUCGCCUCCGAAAGGGUAUCGGAGGCGCUCAAAGGUUCCCUCAGAAUGGACGGAAACCAUUCGAAGAGUGCAAAGGCAGAAGGGAGCUUGACUGCGACACCGACGGGUGGAGCAGGUACGAAAGUAGGACUUAGUGAUCCGGUGGUAUAAAGUGGGAUUGCCAUCGCUCAACGGAUAAAAGCUACCCUGGGAUAACAGGCUUAUCACUCCCAAGAGUUCACAUCGACGGAGUGGUUUGGCACCUCGAUGUCGGCUCAUCGCAUCCUGGGGCUGAAGUAGGUCCCAAGGGUUGGGCUGUUCGCCCAUUAAAGCGGUACGCGAGCUGGGUUCAGAACAUCGUGAGACAGUUCGGUCCCUAUCCGGCGUGGGCGUGGGAUAUUUGAGAGGAGCUGUCCUUAGUACGAGAGGACCGGGAUGGACUGGCCGCUGGUGUAUCUGUUGCAUACCAAAUGCAUGGCAGAGUAGCCAAGCCGGGACGGGAUAAACGCUGAAGGCAUCUAAGCGUGAAGCCCCCCUCAAGAUGAGAUAUCCCUACGUAAGUAGUAAGACCCCUUGAAGACGACGAGGUAGAUAGGUCAGAGGUGGAAGUACAGUAAUGUAUGGAGCUGACUGAUACUAAUCGGUCGAGGGCAUGACU
rnacentral:rRNA from 1 species